UACAGAGGGGGCAAGCGUUGUUCGGAAUUACUGGGCGUAAGGGGCGCGUAGGCGGCCUUCUAAGUCGAACGUGAAAUCCCUCGGCUUAACCGGGGAACUGCGUCUGAUACUGGAUGGCUUGAGUUUGGGAGAGGGAUGCGGAAUUCCAGGUGUAGCGGUGAAAUGCGUAGAUAUCUGGAGGAAUACCGGUGGCGAAGGCGGCAUCCUGGACCGGCAUUGACGCUGAUGAGCGAAAGCCAGGGGAGCAAACGGG
rnacentral:rRNA from 1 species